CCCCCAUCUGAUCAGUUGGUAUGUGGGGGGCAGUGGCUGAAAGGGGCAUAAAUGUGGGCUGGACAGUGGUCAAGGGAGCAACCUGGGGGGAACAACCUGGGAAAAGAACCUGGGAGGAGCACCUGAGGACUGGAUCAGAAGUGACCGGGCAGGAUGUGAGACAGACGAGAGAGAAGAGGCCAUGGCUAGAGAAAAGGAACGAGACCACUAUGUUCUUUGUUUAUCGGCAAGAGAGAAAGAAAACAAGGUGGUUACAUUCACAAAGGGAACUGCUGGGCCAUUGAUGGCAAAGCAAGCCGUGAUUCAGGAUACUACAGAAUGAAUUUAUGAAACAUGACACGGACUGUAU